rnacentral:rRNA from 1 species
CCUACGGGUGGCAGCAGUGGGGGAUAUUGCACAAUGGGGGGAACCCUGAUGCAGCGACGCCGCGUGGGUGAAGGAGCGCUUCGGCGCGUAAAGCCCUAUCGGCAGGGAAGAAGAUAACCGUACCUGACCUAGAAGCCCCCGCGAAAUACGUGCCAGCAGCCGCCGUAAUACGUAGGGGGCAAGCGUUAGCCGGAUUUACUGGGUGUAAAGGGGGCGCAGACGGCAAUGCAAGCCAGGGGUGAAAGCCCGGGGCCAAACCCCGGGACUGCGCUUGGAACUGCAUGGCUGGAGUACCGGAGGGGCAGGCGGAAUUCCUGGUGUAGCGGUGAAAUGCGUAGAUAUUAGGAGGAACACCGGGGGCGAAGGCGGCCUGCUGGACUGUGACUGACGUUGAGGCCCGAAGGCGUGGGGAGCGAACAGGAUUAGAUACCCCUGUAGUC